UUAAGUUCAGCGGGUAUUCCUACCUGAUCCGAGGUCAAACUCAUGAAAGUCGGGGGUUUUACGGCGUGGCCGCGCUGCGCUCCGGUGCGAGGUGUGCUACUACGCAAGGGAGGCUGCAGCGAGACCGCCACUGUAUUUAGGGGGCGGCUCGGAGGGCCCCCGGGGGGGGUUUCCUUCGGGUGCCGGUCCCCAACACCGCU
rnacentral:misc_RNA from 1 species